rnacentral:lncRNA from 1 species
CUGUGUGUAUUACAUUAUAACGUUGUGUCGUUUGUUUUCUCUUAAUUUUGAGUGUAAAUUCACAUUGCGAUAAGACGUGUCACGGUACUUGUCUAUCCCAAAUUCAUGUAUUUGGUUUUGAUGUUAUAUAUAUAUGUUAUAUUUGUUAUUCUCGUGGGAUUUUGUCUAUGUGUGUUACAUUUUAGUGUUAUGUCGUUGUUCUCCUCUUAUAUUUAAUGCGUUUCCCUCGGUUUUAGUUU